rnacentral:rRNA from 1 species
AUUGAACGCUGGCGGCAUGCUUUACACAUGCAAGUCGAACGGUAACAGGCCGCAAGGUGCUGACGUGUGGCGAACGGGUGAGUAAUGCAUCGGAACGUGCCCAGUCGUGGGGGAUAACGCAGCGAAAGCUGUGCUAAUACCGCAUACGAUCUGUGGAUGAAAGCGGGGGACCUUCGGGCCUCGCGCGAUUGGAGCGGCCGAUGUCAGAUUAGGUAGUUGGUGGGGUAAAGGCUCACCAAGCCGACGAUCUGUAGCUGGUCUGAGAGGACGACCAGCCACACUGGGACUGAGACACGGCCCAGACUCCUACGGGAGGCAGCAGUGGGGAAUUUUGGACAAUGGGCGCAAGCCUGAUCCAGCAGUGCCGCGUGCAGGAAGAAGGCCUUCGGGUUGUAAACUGCUUUUGUACGGAGCGAAAAGGCUCCCUCUAAUACAGGGGGCUCAUGACGGUACCGUAAGAAUAAGCACCGGCUAACUACGUGCCAGCCGCCGCCGUAA